rfam:Megasphaera micronuciformis F0359 genomic scaffold Scfld98, whole genome shotgun sequence.
CAGAUUAAGCAGAAGCCGUCCGCUUCUCACCUUACAAGACGCACAGUUACUAAGGUUAUAUGUCGGUCAUAUAUGAGCGGGCAGCUAUGCUGUUCGCUCUUUUUUUGCGGA